rnacentral:rRNA from 1 species
CCUACGGGUGGCAGCAGUGAGGAAUAUUGGUCAAUGGUCGGGAGACUGAACCAGCCAAGCCGCGUGAGGGAUGAAGGUACAGAGUAUCGUAAACCUCUUUUGUCAGGGAACAAAGGCGGGGACGUGUCCCCGGAUGAGUGUACCUGAAGAAAAAGCAUCGGCUAACUCCGUGCCAGCAGCCGCGGUAAUACGGGGGAUUCGAGCGUUAUCCGGAGUUAUUGGGUUUAAAGGGUGCGCAGGCGGUCUGUUAAGUCAGCGGUAAAAGCCCGGGGCCCAACCCCGGCACGCCGUUGAAACUGGCAGUCUCGAGUUGGAGAGAAGUAUGCGGAAUGCGCGGUGUAGCGGUGAAAUGCAUAGAUAUCGCGCAGAACUCCGAUUGCGAAGGCAGCAUGCCGGCUCCACACUGACGCUGAGGCACGAAAGCGUGGGUAUCGAACAGGAUUAGAUACCCGAGUAGUC